GACGAACGCUGGCGGCGUGCUUAACACAUGCAAGUCGAACGGAAAGGCCCUGCUUUUGUGGGGUGCUCGAGUGGCGAACGGGUGAGUAACACGUGAGUAACCUGCCCUUGACUUUGGGAUAACUUCAGGAAACUGGGGCUAAUACCGGAUAGGAGCUCCUGCUGCAUGGUGGGGGUUGGAAAGUUUCGGCGGUUGGGGAUGGACUCGCGGCUUAUCAGCUUGUUGGUGGGGUAGUGGCUUACCAAGGCUUUGACGGGUAGCCGGCCUGAGAGGGUGACCGGCCAAAUUGGGACUGAGCUAAGGCACAGACUCCUACGGGAGGCAGCAGUGGGGAAUAUUGCACAAUGGGCGGAAGCCUGAUGCAGCAACGCCGCGUGCGGGAUGACGGCCUUCGGGUUGUAAACCGCUUUCGCCUGUGACGAAGCGUGAGUGACGGUAAUGGGUAAAGAAGCACCGGCUAACUACGUG
rnacentral:rRNA from 1 species